CAGUGGUUGUAUCUGUCAAGAAUCUUGUUGGAUUUGUGCUGAUCAAAGCGGAUGGUAGCUGGUCGUGUGAGACCAAAAACAAAACAGAACAUCUUCCUAACCCAUUGGGUAAGCGGGGUCUUGGAUCCAGAAGGCAGUGCAUCUGGAGAUGUUGUUACAUCAGUUAAAAGGGGCAUAUGGGCAAUGAUAGCAGUUUUUCUUGCUUAUUGCUUGCUGCAAGCCCCAUCAUCGUAAGUCCUUUGAUAUAAUUUGUUCUGAACAAACUUUUUGCUUUGUACAAUUGCUUAAUUGGUUCUGUUAUUCUGUUCUUCUAGCAUAUCAUUGUACUCAGCUACCUUGA